AGAACUUAGCAGAGAUGCUUGGUGCCUUCGGGAACUCUGAGACAGGUGCUGCAUGGCUGUCGUCAGCUCGUGUUGUGAAAUGUUGGGUUAAGUCCCGCAACGAGCGCAACCCUUAUCCUUUGUUGCCAGCGGUCCGGCCGGGAACUCAAAGGAGACUGCCAGUGAUAAACUGGAGGAAGGUGGGGAUGACGUCAAGUCAUCAUGGCCCUUACGAGUAGGGCUACACACGUGCUACAAUGGCGCAUACAAAGAGAAGCGACCUCGCGAGAGCAAGCGGACCUCAUAAAGUGCGUCGUAGUCCGGAUUGGAGUCUGCAACUCGACUCCAUGAAGUCGGAAUCGCUAGUAAUCGUGGAUCAGAAUGCCACGGUGAAUACGUUCCCGGGCCUUGUACACACCGCCCGUCACACCAUGGGAGUGGGUUGCAAAAGAAGUAGGUAGCUUAACCUUCGGGAGGGCGCUUACCACUUUGUGAUUCAUGACUGGGGUGAAGUCGUAACAAGGUAGGCGUAGUGCU
rnacentral:rRNA from 1 species